rnacentral:rRNA from 1 species
AGCCUGAUGCAGCCAUGCCGCGUGUAUGAAGAAGGCCUUCGGGUUGUAAAGUAUUCAGUAGGGAGGAAGGUUCAUGCGUUAAUAGCGUAUGGAUUUGACGUUACCUACAGAAGAAGCACCGGCUAACUCCGUGCCAGCAGCCGCGGUAAUACGGAGGGUGCGAGCGUUAAUCGGAAUUACUGGGCGUAAAGCGCAUGCAGGUGGUUAGUUAAGUCAGAUGUGAAAGCCCGGGGCUCAACCUCGGAAUUGCAUUUGAAACUGGCUGACUAGAGUACUGUAGAGGGGGGUAGAAUUUCAGGUGUAGCGGUGAAAUGCGUAGAGAUCUGAAGGAAUACCGGUGGCGAAGGCGGCCCCCUGGACAGAUACUGACACUCAGAUGCGAAAGCGUGGGGAGCAAACAGGAUUAGAUACCCUGGUAGUCCACGCCGUAAACGAUGUCUACUUGGAGUUGUGGCCUUGAGCCGUGGCUUUCGGAGCUAACGCGUUAAGUAGACCGCCUGGG